GCCUCUGUGGCUUAGCGGUAUAGCACCACCUUGGUAAGGUGGAGGUCCGGGGUUCAAUUCCCCGCAGAGGCU
rnacentral:tRNA from 1 species